rnacentral:rRNA from 1 species
ACACGACUACAUUAGAUACCCCUGUAGUCCCAGCUGUAAACGAUGCAGACUAGGUGUUUGGACGGCCACGUGCCGUUCUAGUGCCGCAGGGAAGCUGUUAAGUCUGCCGCCUGGGAGUACGAUCGCAAGAUUGAAACUUAAGGAAUUGGCGGGGAGCACAACAACGGGUGGAGCUUGCGGUUUAAUUGGAUUCAACGCCGGAAAUCUUACCGGGACCGACAGCAACAUGAAGGCCAAGCUGAAGACUUUGCCGGAUUAGCUG